GUGGCAGAAGGGCCUCCCUGGACAGCGGGCGAGGGUUUGGGCAGAAUGAGACACGGCGGCACCCGGAGCCGUGUCCCUGGCGAGCGUCCCACCGGUCAGCUACUCUGGUCUCACAAAGAACCCAGUGGCCUUAAGGUCGGCCGCCCUCCUCCGCCUUGGGGACCGGUCACUGGUCACUGCAUCCUGCUCUCCGCUGGGCAAGACCGGCUGGACGCGACCCGGCCUGACCCUCUCCACGCCCCUCCCGCGGGUCCCCACCACCCCGCCCUGGGAGGCGGUUAAUGAAUGAACACGAGUCACCUCUGCGGUCUCCCUGCUCUUCAGCGGGAGACGUGAAUGCCAUGGUGCCCAGACGAAUGAACGCAUGAUACAGGGACACACGCCACCGCCUCAGAAAUCUCGACAGAAAGAAAAGAAAGGCCCCUCCCCUGCUGAGCCCCCUCCCAGCCUUGCCGCCUGCCCCUACCUCUGUGAAGCCCCCAGCGCCCCCUGCCUGGGACGACCCGUCUUGGGCCCUCAGUGACCGUCCCUUCCCCCUGGUGGGUGGGGCGCGUGUUGAAUGAAGGCGUGUGAAUGAACAGAAAGCCACCGAGUGCCGUGACAGAACAGGUUUGUGAGAAGGGACAUCUCUGGGAGCCUGGACGCCACAAGAACCUGGGCCCUCAGCUGAGAGUGUUAACAAUAGAAGUCAUUAAAAAAGUUUCUUUAACGGACGGAUGGAAAUUCCCUUUAUCAGAAGGAGCCGCUGUGAAUCAAGUCGCAGGAGGGCUGUGUCCGGCCAGGGCUGCUUCAGAGCAGAGCGUAAACAUACAAUGUUACAUCGAGUCCAGGCGCACAGGAAGGUGGUUGGACAUUUAUGUCCCUCACGAAGUGACCCCUCCAGGAAGCCUUGUGCCGUCUGACAGCACACGAGUGAAUACAAUGUUAUCAGUGCGUCCUCCACGCCCCGUGACUCAUUCUCAACCCCUUCCUUCCCCUCUGCACCGGCCGCCACCCCCUCCGGUCUGACCGCGCCGGCUUCUCUGUAUAUAGGACACACGGAUGGCCGACAGCCACAUGAGAAGAUGCUCACAGCACCAGUCACGGGGGACAUGCAAAGCGAAACCACAGCGAGAUGCCGCCUCACACCUGUCGGAAGGGCUGUCAUCAAAGAGUCAGCAAACGACAGGCACUGAGGAGGACGAGGAGCAAGGGGCGCUCGGGCACUGCUGUGGGGCGGGGGGCUCCUCAAAAAAAUUAAAGCCAGAGCUACCGUCUGACCCAG